GAGAAGACCCUGUGGAUUUUUAUUUGUUAAAAAAUAAAUUUUAUAAUAUUUUAUUUUUUAUUCAAAUUUGGUUGGGAUGACAGUAAAAUUAACUUUAUUGAAAAGAUAUAUAGUAUAGAUCCUUUUUAAGGAAAAAAAGAACAAAUUACCCCAGGGAUAACAGCGUAAUACUUUUGGACAGGACAAAUGGAUAAAAGUGUUUGCGACCUCGAUGUUGAAUUAAAAUAUCUUUAUUAAGCAUA
rnacentral:rRNA from 1 species